rnacentral:rRNA from 1 species
GAGGUCUAAUACCGGAUAUGAGCACUUACCGCAUGGUGGGUGUUGGAAAGUUUUUCGGUGGGGGAUGGGCUCGCGGCCUAUCAGCUUGUUGGUGGGGUAAUGGCCUACCAAGGCGUCGACGGGUAGCCGGCCUGAGAGGGCGACCGGCCACACUGGGACUGAGACACGGCCCAGACUCCUACGGGAGGCAGCAGUGGGGAAUAUUGCACAAUGGGCGAAAGCCUGAUGCAGCGACGCCACGUGAGGGAUGACGGCCUUCGGGUUGUAAACCUCUUUCAGCAGGGAAGAAGCGAAAGUGACGGUACCUGCAGAAGAAGCGCCGGCUAACUACGUGCCAGCAGCCGCGGUAAUACGUAGGGCGCAAGCGUUGUCCGGAAUUAUUGGGCGUAAAGAGCUCGUAGGCGGUCUGUCGCGUCUGGUGUGAAAUCCCAUGGCUCAACUGUGGGCUUGCAUCGGGUACGGGCAGACUAGAGUGCUGUAGGGGAGACUGGAAUUCCUGGUGUAGCGGUGGAAUGCGCAGAUAUCAGGAGGAACACCGAUGGC